AUUGAACGCUGGCGGCAGGCCUAACACAUGCCAGUCGAGCGAGCGGCGGACGGGUGAGUAAUGUCUGGGAAACUGCCUGAUGGAGGGGGAUAACUACUGGAAACGGUAGCUAAUAACGCAUACCAUCAGAUGUGCCCAGAGGGGAUUAGCUAGUAGGUGGGGUAACGGCUCACCUAGGCGACGCUCCCUAGCUGGUCUGGGAGGAUGACCAGCCACACUGGAACGGAGACACGGUCCAGACUCCUACGGGAGGCAGCAGUGGGGAAUAUUGCACAAUGGGCGCAAGCCUGAUGCAGCCAUGCCGCGUGUGUGAAGAAGGCCUUCGGGUUGUAAAGUACUUUCAGCGGGGAGGCGUUACCCGCAGAAGAAGCACCGGCUAACUCCGUGCCAGCAGCCGCGGUAAUAC
rnacentral:rRNA from 1 species